rnacentral:rRNA from 1 species
GACGAACGCUGGCGGCGCGCUUAACACAUGCAAGUCGAGCGAGAACCAGACCUUCGGGUCUGGGGACAGCGGCGAACGGGUGAGUAACACGUGGGUAAUCAACCCUCGGUACUGGGAUAGCCCGGGGAAACCCGGAUUAAUACCGGAUGGCCCUUCGGAUCUUCGGUUCUGAAGGAAAAGGUAGCUUCGGCCUCCGACCGAGGACGAGCCCGCGGCGGAUUAGCUUGUUGGUGGGGUAACGGCCUACCAAGGCGGCGAUCCGUAGCUGGUCUGAGAGGACGAUCAGCCACACUGGGACUGAGACACGGCCCAGACUCCUACGGGAGGCAGCAGUGGGGAAUCUUGCGCUAAUGCGGGAAACCGUGACGCAGCGACGCCGCGUGAGGGAAGAAGGCCUUCGGGUUGUAAACCUCUUUCAGGAGGGACGAAGCUACUCGGGUUAAUAGCCCAGAGGGUGACGGUACCUCCAGAAGAAGCCCCGGCUAACUACGUGCCAGCAGCCGCAGUAACAC